UGAUCCUGGCUCAGGAUGAACGCUGGCGGCGUGCCUAAUACAUGCAAGUCGAGCGAACAGACGAGGAGCUUGCUCCUCUGACGUUAGCGGCGGACGGGUGAGUAACACGUGGGUAACCUACCUAUAAGACUGGGAUAACUCCGGGAAACCGGGGCUAAUACCGGAUAACACAUGAAACCGCAUGGUUUCAUGAUGAAAGACGGUUUUGCUGUCACUUAUAGAUGGACCCGCGGCGUAUUAGCUAGUUGGUAAGGUAACGGCUUACCAAGGCAACGAUACGUAGCCGACCUGAGAGGGUGAUCGGCCACACUGGAACUGAGACACGGUCCAGACUCCUACGGGAGGCAGCAGUAGGGAAUCUUCCGCAAUGGGCGAAAGCCUGACGGAGCAACGCCGCGUGAGUGAUGAAGGUCUUCGGAUCGUAAAACUCUGUUAUUAGGGAAGAACAAGGAUGUAAGUAACUAUGCAUCCCUUGACGGUACCUAAUCAGAAAGCCACGGCUAACUACGUGCCAGCAGCCG
rnacentral:rRNA from 1 species